rnacentral:lncRNA from 1 species
UACAAAAUAACCUUCACGUGUAACAAUAAAAUGAAACGAAAUAUAAACUCUUCGGAAAAUGAAGAACAGAUAGAUCCUUAUUUUGAAAUGAGAAAAAGAAAAACUAUGAUGUAUUCUUUAUAAGAAUAAUUGUAUUACAUAUAAAAUUCUCAAAUGAGAAUUAUAAUAAAUUUCUGACAAUGUUAGAAUAGAGAAAAGAGAUGAAGAAAAUGAAAUAAAUACAAAAACAAGAACAAAAAAUAUGUAACAAGAUGCAUAUAAAUGCAUAUGGAUCCAGCAAAGAAGAUUAUAAUAUAUUCUCCAUAAUUAAUUAUAAUUAUUUCUUGGUAAGCUUGUUCUUGUUAUACUUAACCUUGAACCAAUUAGCACUAACACUGGCUCCUUCUUUAACUUUCCUCAUUCCUGCAGAAGCUGCUAUCUUUGUUUUCUCCAUUCCUACUUCAAAUUUCUCACUUACCCUCCGAGAAAGUUUCGGUUUAUUGCCGAGUCGUUUUGGAUCAGCAGGCUGAGGAUUUGUAGUUUUGGUAUUUGAUUCCCAUGCACUUUCAAGACUCAUUGUUUUGAGAUAUAUAUAUAUUAUAUUCUUCUUCACCACCUCAAGAAAAAAAAGUUAUGAUUCUUUUUCACAAUUUAUUUUUUUCCCUUCAAAGGAGAAGGGGUGGAGAAGGAAGAAGAAUCUUGUUGGGAAUAGUUUUUUGCCUUUGAUUAAUUUGUUGGUGAAGAAGUUGAGAUCUCUUUUUAUAUGGAGAAAUGGAUGGCUCACGUUAUGGUUGUUUGGUUGAAUGUACACUCCUCAAAUUGAUGUUUCUUCUUAUAGAAGAAAAGGAACGAUUUUUGUGGAUUUUUU